rnacentral:rRNA from 1 species
GACGAACGCGGGGCGGCGUGCUUAACACAUGCAAGUCGAAACGAAAAAGAGGGGAAAGAGCUUGCUCUUUUCAGAAUUGAGUGGCAAAACGGGUGAGUAAACACGUAAACAACCUGCCUUCAGGGAUGGGGACAACAGACGGAAACGACUGCUAAUACCGAAUAAGUUCCAAGAGCCGCAUGGCCCAUGGAAGAAAAGGUGGCCUCUACCUGUAAGCUAUCGCCUGAAGAGGGGUUUGCGUCUGAUUAGCUGGUUGGAGGGGUAACGGCCCACCAAGGCGACGAUCAGUAGCCGGUCUGAGAGGAUGAACGGCCACACUGGAACUGAGACACGGUCCAGACUCCUACGGGAGGCAGCAGUGGGGAAUCUUCCGCAAUGGGCGAAAGCCUGACGGAGCAACGCCGCGUGAGUGAUGACGGCCUUCGGGUUGUAAAACUCUGUGAUCCGGGACGAAAAGGCAGAGUGCGAAGAACAAACUGCAUUGACGGUACCGGAAAAGCAAGCCACGGCUAACUACGUGCCAGCAGCCGCGGUAAUACGUAGGUGGCAAGCGUUGUCCGGAAUUAUUGGGCGUAAAGCGCGCGCAGGCGGCUUCCCAAGUCCCUCUUAAAAGUGCGGGGCUUAACCCCGUGAUGGGAAGGAAACUGGGAAGCUGGAGUAUCGGAGAGGAAAGUGGAAUUCCUAGUGUAGCGGUGAAAUGCGUAGAGAUUAGGAAGAACACCGGUGGCGAAGGCGACUUUCUGGACGAAAACUGACGCUGAGGCGCGAAAGCGUGGGGAGCAAACAGG